rfam:Myotis lucifugus cont2.39994, whole genome shotgun sequence.
GCCUGUGUGGCUCAGUGGACAGAGCCUUGGCCCGAGGACUGCAGGGUCCCGGGUUCGAUUCCAGGCAAGGGCA